AACAUACAACAUAAAUAUAGAUAUUUAUGUUGUAUGUUGUUGAAAACAUUAUGUUGACGUACAGAUCUUGUAAAAAAUUCAACGUUGAUUUAGAAGUGUUUCUGCCUUUUAACGUAUUAUUAUGAUAAUUAAUUAGCAUUUAAUGAUUUUUUGAUCAUAACAGCUCUUCAAUGUAUAUGUUAAAAUAUAAUUAUUAUCAUUAUUAACAAUAAUAGUUUAACCCUCAAGAGAGCAGUGCAGCAGAAACCUUUUGCCUUAUGUGAUUUUGUGUGAAUUUACAAUUUUGUCCGCUUGCCUAACAGUUUACAUUGCAUUAUUACAUUUGUAUUCAUACACUGUCAUGUCAUUUGACCAAUUAAUUAAAUAAUAAUACAGACUGCAAAUAAAACUUAAUACACAGCUGUGUUAACUCGCGCAAACUAUUGCUAUUGUUAUUGGUUGUUUCGCCGUUUUAAUAAUUAUUAUCAUUAUUAACAAUAAUAGUUUAACCCUCGAGAGAGCAGUGCAGCAGAAACCUUUUGCCUUAUGUGAUUUUGUGUGAAUUUACAAUUUUGUCCGCUUGCCUAACAGUUUACAUUGCAUUAUUACAUUUGUAUUCAUACACUGUCAUGUCAUUUGACCAAUUAAUUAAAUAAUAAUACAGACUGCAAAUAAAACUUAAUACACAGCUGUGUUAACUCGCGCAAACUAUUGCUAUUGUUAUUGGUUGUUUCGCCGUUUUACUUUGAGCAUGAUUGGUUAAUCUGUCUGUUUUACAGGAAACUGUCCAAUGAGAAUGUGCGCGGCUCUGCGCGCCUAUUUUAAAUUUGAAAAUAUGUCCGUUACUCUCGGUCGGAGCAGCUGCUUUGCGUUGAUUACUCGGUCAGACCUGGAUUAUUUUAUAUCUGCCUGUUGAAUUCUUACAUUUUGAGCGAAUUUUAGUUGAUAUGACAAUGAAGAUCAAAAGCUGGAAUGUGAACAGAGGAAGGGGUCGUACGUGGUCUGUAAAUACUGGCGAUAUCAGACCAAGCUUUGUAAUAAGAUUUUUAUCGGGGGAGAACACCCAACAGAAACACCCAUGAUUCACCAACGUAAGUAAAUUUUACCCACGUACUGUUACGAAAACCUACACUAGGAUAGUAUUAAGUAUGAUUUUCAUAAUGUUACUGAUAGAAAGUCUGAGUAACUUUCUGUCCUUUUGUCUUUUGCUGAAGUGGCGCACUGAAAGGGGAGAUUCAUGUCACCUUCAUCAGUCCUUUCUUUAAUCACUGGACACCAUUAAGGGAAAGACCCGCUCAGACGUGUCAUAAUAGGAUAAAUGCGGCUGCAGGUAAAAUUAUUUGACGGGGUUAGGGUUAUUUGAUUUUGGUGUACCAAUUGGCUUUUUUUUGUGUGCUUCCCUUGCUAUGAUACACAUUUCUGAUGGGAUUGCCAUGCUUUAAGUGUAUGUUUACAUUUUUAAUCAUGUAAUAACUAACAGUCUCAAAGAUGACAUUACUCAUGUUGUGUGAAUAUAAUAAUGGCAAACGUUUUUACAAUUUAAAUCAAUUUCAUAUAAAUAAUAUAUAUAUUUAUAUGUUUCCUCACAAUGUCAAAAGUGCUUGUUAAGUGUGGCAGCUUUUUUUUUAAUACAUUUUACAAUUUUAAUAUGUAAGUUAACAUUAUGUCGAGUCAGCAGGGCUAACGUUAAAACUCGCUGUUUGUAACGUUAUGUUAUGUAUUAACCUUAUAAAAGUGUCUAGCUUUAGCAAAUGUAACAUUAUGCCGGUCCUAGUAAACUUAAAAUGUUAUUAACGUUAGCCCUGAAUGUGAAACAUGCAUCAGCCAUCAUAACAUUAACGUUAAAUACCUGUGGUUGACUAACAUUAAUUUAAUAACGUUAGCUGUUAACUUAACGUUACAUCUUACAAGUUACUGUUGCCUCUUGCAAACAAGUAACAGUUAAGUUAACGUUAAAUAAAAGGCUAUUGCAGGUUGGAACCUUGUUUUAUACAGUCUAUGGUUUAACUUAGUUAACGUAAUGUUAAGUUAGGACCUGACAAAGACUUGUCUCAGUGGCAGUUUGUUUUUAACUUAACGUUAGCAGUGGCACAUUCAGUCAGUUAACAUUAACGUUAGCUUGAUACGAAUACUAUUAAUCUAGGAAACUUUAUAACGCUACGUUGCUCCUACCGUUAAAGUAACGUUAAAUUACUGGUAACGUAAAUACUUUACCUGUAACCUGCGCGUAACGUAACGUUACCUCCUAGAUGCCUGGAUUUUAACUUUCUCAGCUGACUAAGUUUGUUCUUCUUUAUAGUGAACCAGACUCAUCGUGAGUGAAAAUAACGAUUUAACAUGAACUUUCAUGUCCUCCUUAUCCAUAGUUUUUGACAGAUUGGACUAGUUAACUUACUUCAACAACUUCUGGGUGAGUGUUUGUACAAGUAAGUCGCUGAAUUAGUUCUCGGCGGGUUUUUAAAAUUAAUGCGGUUUUCCGGUUUAUGAAUUAUUUUUUUGGGUUUAACUUAGUUAACGUAAUGUAAGUUAGGACCUGACAAAGACUUGUCUCAGUGGCAGUUUGUUUUUAACUUAACAUUAGCAGUGGCACAUUCAGUCAGUUAAUAUUAACGUUAGCUUGAUACGAAUACUAUUAAUCUAGGAAACUUUAUAACGCUACGUUGCUCCUACCGUUAAAGUAACGUUAAAUUACUGGUAACGUAAAUACUUUACCUGUAACCUGCGCGUAACGUAACGUUACCUCCUAGUUAUACACAUGCCUGGAUUUUAACUUUCUCAGCUGACUAAGUUUGUUCUCCUUUAUAGUGAACCAGACUCAUCGUGAGUGAAAAUAACGAUUUAACAUGAACUUUCAUGUCCUCCUUAUCCAUAGUUUUUGACAGAUUGGACUAGUUAACUUACUUCAACAACUUCUGGGUGAGUGUUUGACAAGUAAGUCGCUGAAUUAGUUCUCGGCGGGUUUUUUUGAAUGGUCUACUUUACUGUCAUUAUUGAAUAUUGUAGAUAGGGCUGGACUAGAAUAUUCGUUCAGUGGGUUGGUAUUCGAUUUGAAAAUUUGACAUUCGAAUAUUCCUUUUUUUUCUGCUGUAUUUGUUUUCUCGAAACGGUUCUCAUUCGUGCUUGAAUAUACAAUAUAGUUUACACUAUUAAAUCUGGCGAAAUACAAUACUCUUUUGGCCAUUUUUAAUAGGAUGGACAGUUGAAGGAACCUAACCUCGUUAUACUUAAUACAUUUAUUUGCUUCUUCUUGGCCUAUUAAAGUGUUCCUGGAGUAAUCUCUGACUAGAGUGCAGAACAGCGGAGUUUGUAUGGACAGAAGUGCAUGCCAUCAAUACUUAAAGGGAUAACUAUUUUGAUAAUAGUAAUUCCUCAUGUAAAACAUUUGUUGGUUCCAGCUUAAUACAUGUGAAGAUUAUUUACCUUUUCUACUCUUUAAUUUACUUUAUAAACUCUGCAAUAAUAACAAACUAUUCCAUUUGACAAUGAAUGAAAAUUCGAAAAUCAUGACCCAUCUCUAAAUUCAAUAAUUGUACUGCGAGUCAGAAUAAUUAAACUCAGUCUCUUGCCAAAGGUUUGUGCCAAAAUCACACUAGUGAUAGGAUAGUUUUACAAGUGGUUUUAAGAUUUUGUUGAUCACAUUUACACAGCAGCUUGAACCCUUUUAAGAAAUUUUAACCCCUUAAUGUUCCUGCAUUAGAAGCAGUAAUAGAGGCAAAGUUUGUUCAUGCUCAAUUUUCAUUCAAGUUCCAAACUGCAAUUAUUGUUAAGCGGCAACCUAAUGGCUCUUCUCUGCCGAUGAAAACAAAACAAUGUGGCCACUGUUGAU
rnacentral:lncRNA from 1 species